AAGAGACACCCAGACUUCUCAAACAAAGUUGUUAGUUAUGUUUGGCAAGGGACAAAAACACAUCCGUGGCUUGAUCAAUACUAUUAUUGGCGCUCGCAGCAUUUAUGUUCUUUUCAUAUUCCCUAUCCAGGAAAGAAACUUCAAGUUGGAAGAGGCAAGGUUCCCACAGAUGUUGGUGACAGAAAAUGGAAACCCAGGCAAGAAAUAAGGAAUGUUCUAAAGGCCCGCUCAGGGUCCCAGGGCCUGGCCAGAUAAAUUAACUUCUAGGAGACUUGUCUGCUUUGAAGAGCUGAGACUUUGAGGGAAGGGGCUAGAAGCCCAGCCACUGGAAAGUUACGAUCUUUUAAAAAAAUGGGCAGGCAGUUUGGAUGAUCUUUGGUCAUGCGAGCUGGACAUUGUCUCCAGGUGAGAAGCAAGGAGUCAAUGCAUUUUCCCAGACGUACCAUGUUUCUUUCUGAGAGUUGCUAGACUGGUUUUUGGGUAUUGUGUAAACAGAAUGCGUUUGUAGCAGUCCUUUUGACAGCUAAAGUCCCUGUCCUUGAAGACAGACGAGAUGAACCUCUGGGCAGGAGCAGAAGGUAGCCGGAUCAGGUAGAUGAAGAACUGAUUGAAUAUAGAGUACUAAUUAAUAGAUUGAUGACGAUCCGGAGAAAGGAUCUUUCACACUACAGGUUUCUGGCCUCCGUCUUGCCUUGUUAACUAUUUUUAUUAAUGACUUGGAUGAAGACGUUGAUGGCCUGGUGAUAAAAUUUGUGGGUGACACAAAGCUGGAAGAGCUAGCUCCUAAGUUGGAUGGCACAAUUGGGAUGCAAAAAAGAUCUGACGGACUGAAACAAUGGACCAGAUCUAAUAAGAUUAUGUUUAAUGGGGAUAAAUGCAAAGUCCUGCACUUGUUUAAAAUAAACAAACAACUAAGAUGGAAUGAGCAGCAGAUGCGCUUUGAUAGUAGCCUACGUGGAAAUGAUAGAGAUGUUUCAGUUGGUUAUUGGCUCAAAACGAAUCACUGGUGCGCCGUAAAUUUGGACUGUAAUGGGAAGGGGGUAGAAUAUAAGAGAGGCAAUAACCUUUCUUCCUCCAAAAUGAUGGCUCUUAUUUUCAGUUUGCUAUAUGGCAAACAGCUUUCUGUGGAUUCUCUCAUCCAGUCUCACUAUCCUGUCAGGGGCUACUAUUACCCCAUCUUACAGAUAAGGAAACUGAAGCCUGAGGAGACUGAGUAACGUGUCCAAAGUCACAUACAAGAGCCGGGACAUGAACAUGGUGUUCUGAUCCCACCUUGUGCUAAACCACCAUUCCAGGCUGCCUUUGGGCCCUUUGGCUUACACCUAGAUAGAGCUGAUAUACCCUAUACCUUGGUAUAUCCGGUCACCUUAUAAAAGUAAUAUCUCUACACAGACAGAGUUGAAGACUUGAGAUCAUAGACAUACGGGAUGAGAAAAGGCAGGCUGGGCCAUGGUGGGAGGGAUGCAAGGAAGAAGGAGGGUGUUAGGAUCCCUGCCUUCAUAUGUAUAACAGGCUUCAAGUGUUCCUUCCUGGAGUCCUGGAAGGCAGAGCCAUGGCCAAGGGGGUGAAAAUACAGAGGCAUGUUUAGGUUCAAGUAACAAUGCACUUUCUAAUAAUUUGAGCACUUUUGACGAUGGACUGGCAUCUCAUGAGGGAGUGUCCCUAGAUGGCAUCCAGCACAGGCCAACUGAUCACUUGUCAGAAGCAGACGCUGGAUCAGGUGACCUUUUGAGUUCUUCUCCUACUGAGGCCAUCUCUGCUUCUGGACUAGUCCUAACAUCUGGACUAGGGAGUCGGGGCACUUUUAGGCACAAGGGCAAGUCCUGCAGUUUUUGAUUUAUUGCAUUUCAACAAUGAAUGCUGAUAACCUGUUCCCCUUCAGGGAGUUUUUAUUUUAUUUUGUUUUAUUUCAUUUCAUUUCAUUUCAUUUAUUUUCUUAAACUUCUAUUCUUUGGGGAUUUUUGAAGUAUGUGCUAUACUCUUUAUCCAUAUAACAAAAGCUGCCAGGCAGACCCACUGUGGAAGGAUUUAAGAACAAAUAAGGAAACAAACACAUAUAAUGCUCUCUACUUCCUUGUGGUGUUUGUGUCUUCUCAUUUACAGCCAACUUAUCAGAUAGCUGAUACUGUCAGGAUUUUUUGAAUAGCUGCAUAUAUACCUUUCACUCUGCCUUUGCUAUCCCAAAGUUGGCCCUUCUGAAUCCUCUCUCCCCUGUUCUGCUGCGGUCUGGUGAAAGAACUAUUACAUUAAUAGUUAGGACUAUAAAUAGGAAAUGAGUAAAUAGGUUCAGAGAAAGGAACCAGAGACCUGUUCAGUUAGUAAAUUGCAUGAUACAAUCUAUAAUACAUGGACUUUGGUAUGUCCAUUUGAUUAGAGACUUCUCUCUCCCCCACUUCCAAAACUCUAGAGUAUGUUGUAUCUUUGUUCUGGGAAGCUUAAGGUGUGUGGACUUGUGGCCCCAUAUGUAAAAUGCUUUUAAAGUUCGGCUUCCCAUGUCAAGAGAAGGAACAAUGGCCCGGCAGUGAGGCCGCCACCCCAGCACGCACCGGCCGGCUAAGCCAUCGGAGCAUCCCGUGGGGCCCCUGUGUGUUGGGGAAAACAGUGGCUGCCCAGGAUAACGAGACCAUGUCAGGCAUUGUAGGCAAAUAUGCUUGGGCCAGCACUCCACAGUCUCACGCUGCAGUUGUGUGUUCCUAGGGAGCCCACACCAUCUUAAUCAUGCCUGCCAGGGAAGAAAUUCUCCUUUCUCUUUUUUUCCCCAAGACGUAUUUCCCCUGUAUCGUUUAAACAUAUUAAAUCACUGUUAGUACGCAGAGUGGGCAUCAUGUUAGCAUAAGAUCUAAUCAGAGCGAGUCUGCUGGUCUCCAAAGGCUUUAUUCUUUUUGUCUCUUUCCUCUGUUUUCUUGUUAGACUGAAGAGCCUUUUCUGACAUCCUCAUUUGUUCUGCUGUGUAAUAGCAUGGGAUCUUUCAGAGCUGUCGACAUCUGCUGCACUCUAGAGAGCUGCAGAACCAAGCCAGCAAAGCAAUAAUAAUUAUGCCCAAAUGGACUGCAAAGGAUGUAAGAGAUAAGAAGGAAGACCAGAAAAAAAUACACUCGAUGCAAUGGUGUUCCAGCCUGAAGUGAGUGAAUGUGUGUGCGUGUGUGUGCAUGUAAAUGUACAGUCGCUGAAGCCAUACACCUGUAUGUGCGUUGAGGACACAAAUCCUUUUCCUGAGAGCAGUGGACUGGAAAUCAGUCUGGCUCAGGGUUCUCCAAAUUCCCAAUCCUUGCUCCUUCCCCCAGAAGGAAGGUGUGGCUUCCUACAUUGCAGGGUAGUUUGUAGGACACUGUGGAGAGAGACCUUCUUCCUUCUGCCCCCCGCUCCACCCUUAUGCAUAGCUGUGUCUUCAUCCCUGGAACUACUCUGAGGAUAAAUUCGGCUUGUUGGAAAGAGGCUGUACAUCUUCCUGAUUAUCAACGUGCUAGUUAUUAAAUACCUGGCCUGUUGGGCCUCCCCUAGGAUUAAAACUAGCAAACUGGCAUCUACUGGAUGCUUAGUAUUUGCCAGGCACUGUGUAAGCCCUUCAUGUGCAGGAUCAUUCUUCCUUAAAUAACUCUACCAGCUUGGUGUCACUGUAUCCCCAUCUGCAGGUGAAAAGAUUAGGGCAUGGAGGGUCCCCCAGCUGACAAAGAGGGGCUUCAAAAAUGGACCCUGGGCCUCUCCUACCCCGGCAUCGGCCUUCCUGGGUACAAGGCCAUAUGCCCAGAGGCCCUGCUUGUGCACCGACAGAGAGACUGGUUUUUAAGGCUGUGGUUACUCGAGAACAAAAGAACCGGUCAUGCCGUUCAUGUGUGACUCUUCACAAAGCAGCCAGGCCGCUCAGUGACAUACUUGGUCACUUUCAUGAACAACCAGUCAGUUGAACAAAGAGAACUGAAAUAAAAUAAACUCCCCAAACCAAGGGAGCCCAGGUUUUUUUUUUUUUCCCUCCCCCAUUGGGUUAGCUGAUUAUUUUGCAGAAUCCGAGACUCCUACCAAGGCCAGUUGUCUUGAGGUCACUUAGGGCCCAGGAAGGGCGAGCAGGCCCCACACCUGGUCUCAGGACCCUGCUUCAGCCAGAAGCCAGCGCACCUGGGAUGGACCAACCCUCAGCAACAGUGGGAGGCUCAUCAGUCGAGAACAUAUGCUUCCUGCCUAUGCCAUCCGCCUCCCUCAACCCUAUUCCAGCCCUGGCCCCACCAUAUAGCCCCACCGCUCCCACUCUGGAACUUAUACCGUGAUCUCCCGACAUCCUUUACUUCUUCAGAAGCCUCCUUAGAAGGCCCAGGUGACUCAUUUAUGCUGGAGUGACCCCUCUUAGACAGAUUCAUUUUAACUAGAGGAAAUGCUUGAAUUAGACCAAAGGAUUACAUCUCCAGUAGUGGUAUCAUAGGCUUCCCCUUCUCCUAGUAAGGGAGCCAGUGGCUCUGGGGAAAGCCUCCAUGGCAUCUUUAUCAUCACGUUCUGUGAAAAAGGGAAGAGCCUUUUUCCAUCUACUUCAGUGGCUGGAUGAGGGUGGAGCAGAGACCAGGGUACAGAACUUCACACAGGUGUCCCACUCAAGACUUGGGAGUCGUGGGGGUCCUUCUGGGAAUGCAUUUCACAGACUUAACAGUGUGAAAUGUGAAACUCAACACCCAGUAACAUUUUGGAGCGAAAAGAGAAAAAAACCGACCUAAACAGUUAAAAGCUUGGGCAGGAAAAUGGGCAAACAGGGAUUAUUCUGGGGAUGGACGGAAAAAAACCUCGAAUGAGGGGGGAAAAAAAAAGUCACGUGCACCACAACAUCUACCUGCAGCUGUGUUGCUGAAAAUCCCCCAACAGGAAGCGUGAGCAGCCAGCGGGAUGGAAGCUGCCAGUACAACGAGGCAUCAAGGAGGGCCAGGGCUGGUUGGGGCCGUGGAUGAAACUGGAGCCCAUCUGGGACCAAGAAAUAACCUGGCUCCUCUCUGCAUGUGCCGGGCACCGGUACACAUGUGGUCAGGCGCAACUGGGCCAGAAUUAAUACAUUUUGUUAAUGUUUUUAUUUCUGAGAGCGAGAGAGAGAGAGAGAGAGAGAAAGCACGAGCAUGGGAGAGGCGGGUGGGUGCAGAGGGCCCCAAAGAGGGCUCUGCGCUGAUAGCAGCAAGCCAGACACAGGGCUUGAACUCAAAAACUGAGAUCAUGACCCUGACUGAAGUGACACCUUCAGCCGACUGAGCCACCCAGACACCCCCAGAAUUAGUAUUCAUAGCCCAGUGAUAGUAAUGGUCACACUAUGUUCAUCGAUGGUAGCUCCUAGAACCACAAGUAGCCAGCAGGUGAAAUGUACUCAGUUAACCAUGAUUUGGGUUAUAACACAUCACAUCGUCCUUUUGGCUUUUGGUUUUUGACGUGAUGAUUCUUUCACCUCCGUAAAGAGUUGUAAGCCAUACAGGAACUCUAAUGACAAUUUAGGAAUUCAUAGGGUACGUGUAUGAUUCUGUAUUGUCUUCCUGAGUCCCCGUGUUCAGUCAUUUGGAUCCGUAGCUGAUCUUCCCUGGUGAAUUGGAACAAUGUGUGGAGAGCCCCCAAGGGAAGGAACUCUGAGAUCUUAGGGAAGCCAGUGGACACAGGGCUCCUAUAAACCUUUCUGGAAGGGGUACAGAUGCGAGAGAGCUGGCCCCUGAGAGCAUCUAUGCAGCCAAAGGCCACUGCCUGGCUCAAGUCCAUGCAGAUCAGCAUAUCUGCAUAUUGUAGUUCAGUAGGGACUGCUGCUCUUGAUUUAAUUAAUAGUUUGUUUGCAUAAUUUUCCUUAGGAAGGACUAUUAGCACAUCAAAAGGACGUUAAAAGUAUCCUUGGUAAUAAUAAAUACAAACCUAGUUUAUCACUUUGUCAGUUUCAACAAACACCACUCUGAUAUGCUAACCUUUCCCAUGGAGGCGCCCUAGUUAAGUCAACAGCCAGACAAGUGGGAGAAGGGAACAUAGGCCCAGUCUGUGAACUGGUUGAUGGGGAAAGCCAAAAUAAUUUCUGUGAGGAUACAUUUUUUGAAUUCCCAAAUACCUGAAAAAUGCCAGAGGCAUGUGUAUGACUUUUCCUUCCUCCCUCCUCCCACUUAAAAGCUUUUGUAGAGAACCUGCUGAGCUGGUAGCAUUUUUCUUUGCAUCUCAAGGGAGCACUUUGUAAAAAUGUUUUUAGAACACUAAUUUUUAUGCACCCCCCCGCCCUGCCCUGCCCAGGGGAAGAAGGAAAGGUGGGUCAUUUACAUGAAAUUAAAGAUUUUUGUAUAGCCCAUCUCUGUCCCACCCCUGAAGAAGACAGGGAGAACAGCAAAUGUCCUUGAAACGUCGGUAGCCAUGCGAGGUUUGAUUCAAGAAAGAAAAUGCCUCUGAAGGCGGAAGGCAGGGAACCACAGAGAAUGACCAAGCCCCUCAGUGGCUCAAGAUAUGCCAAAGUGCAGGUGAAACCAAACAACCUGAUCAUGUACACCUCUGGGUGGGACGGAGGAAGCUUCGCUCUGUGUGGCAGGUAUAUUCAGUAAAAUCUUCCUAGCCUCUCCAUGGAAACUUCGGCAGUUAAAGCCCAUGGGCCACUUUCAAAACCUAAAAUUCAAUUCUUUUAGCUAAAAAGAGAAGUUAUUUAUCUUAGUCAUCUGUGUACUACAUCCAGCCUCAUUUUGUUCAACAAAAGAUACUAAACAUAGUCAUCGCCUGGCAUGUCUGAGCCUGGUCUUAUUAACUGGAAACUGGAGAAAGAAGUUCAGAAAUUGACAAAAGAUCACCGAGGCAACUAGAAUGACAUCUGAAGUAGACGGGCGGUUUUGCCCUUUGCCAGCAUCUGCUCCUGCUCCCCCAGGCCCUUCAGAACUCUGGCUCUGUGUGGCAUUUCCAUGGGCUUCCAGGAAAGAAGGUCCGAGGCCACCUCCCAACUCCACUCUCUCCAGGGGAGUCUGAUCUGGUCGGGGGUGAUCUCAACCUACUGCCAGCGGUUGGUUCAGAAAUGAGUGUGUAAUCAUUUGGGCUGGUGAGGCAAAAAAAGAUUUUUCUUGGAGCUUCUGGGGGAAAAUAUCUUUAUUCUUCAGAGACUGCCUUGGGAAGCAUUUCUCUGGCCAUCACAUGUCCCUGGAUGUGAGGCCAUCUGCUACACAUGCCCUGCUACCAGGCUGAGGCUGAAGGUGCAGGCAGAAGAGGGCAGAGCUUAAGAGAGCAGCACGAAAGAGGGCCAGGAGCCCCAAGACCCCGUCAACCCCAAAGCCUCAAGUUCCUCUAGACUUUGGUUUUGUGGCCGUACUUUAUCUUAGUUUAUAAGCCAGUUUGAGUUUUCUGUUGCUUGCAAGAAAGGAAUCUUAACUAAUACAAGUUGUCAAAAACUAGAAACUUCUAAGUAGUCCUCAUGAGAAAGACAAAACCUGUUUGUUGCCUGCGUAAAAGGAAGAAUGUAAUAUUGACUAAUGGAUGAAAAGAAGAGAAACUGCAUCGUGAUAGAACUAGGAUGGCUUCCUCCACAGUGCAAAGGGUUCAACUAUCAAAUAAUUUAGCGCCGAACCUAAGGCACUGUCAUCACUCGGGAUAGUUUGAAUGUGACCAGGUAAAGUGGUCUAAAAUCCUAGAUAUCUCCCAGGGCCGUACUCCACCUCAGCAGAAGACCUGUUGCAGAGCAUGAAGCAGAUACAACCUAGUAUAUAAUCUAAAAUCGCCCCGGUCAAGAGACUGUUCUGGAGGCUCUGACAAUAAUCAUACAGUUCCCAGUGGAAGGGCAUGGUCUGGAGGAAAGUCACUUGAACUUGGGGAAGCCAAGUCUGGUUUUGUGCAAAAAUAAAAAUGGAAGGCUUCACGAAAUUGGAAAAGUAUCCCUCCCCGUCUGAAAUACACCCCCUGAGUCCCUGCUAUUUGAAAUUGUCAACUGGAGAAUAAAGACAGAGAUAAAGGAUCUCAAAUGCAAAUUUCCAUGAGAGCACUAACACAGUACUAACAGCUUGGCCACUCAAAAGUCUAUCUCACUAGUUCAAGAAAGUAAGCUUUGUGACGCCACAGGUAUUUUUGUCUUGUUCAUUACUCUAUCCCUUAUAACUAAAAGGGUGUUUAACCCAUAAUACAUGCAAAAUCACCAUUUGUGACUAAAUGAAUGACCGAUAAUCUGAGUCUUACCCAGAGCAAACUUUUAUGGGAAAGAAGAAAAUCUCCAGAGGUGGAUUUAUCAUGAGGCUGAGGAAUGUUAAGCAUUAGUGCCCCUCUCUGUGCUAGGAGGAACCCUACCAGUGCAUUCACUUGUCAUAUGUUUUUGCAAAAUUUGUAGAAGUCAGAUAUUUUAGUCUUGACAGGUCAGACUUCUGUCUCUUUCGACUCUAUCUUGCUCUCCUAUCAGGUGCCAUCAGUCACUGCAGGCUUUUUGGGGGGGGAGGGAAGCUAAGUCAAGUAGAUUUGAAAUACACUAAUUUUUGUGUAGCAGGAUAUAUUUAUGUGAUUCAUAGUCACUUCUGCAUGUAGUAUUUCUAGCCUUCCUCUUGUAGGAGUGGAUUCCCACUGUAGAAACACAUCUGAUGUCCUAACAUAAAGGCGCAUACAGAUGUUGUAUGACAAUACGAGUGUGUUCUGUGACCUUAGUGGAGGCAAAGGAAUGUUUGAAAUGGAGCCGGAAGCUAGUCCAUGGAAAAUUUUUUCCAAUCAAUUGCAAACAAAGCGUUCCGUUUUCAUUGACACCUAGUUAAAAUGAGGUUUUUCUCCCAUUGGGAAUAUACAUGAGGACGCAGCGAAUACUUUUGUGGUUUUGUGCCAUAUCAUGAAAUCAUUUUUCAAAUUUUUGCAAAUGACAUUAAUAGAAAUUAUUCUGAUAUCUACAAGUGAAUUGAAACCAAACAGAACCAACCCAGAUCAUUCCAAAAGUAGUAAACCAUUAAGAAGAAGAGAUAAAUUGCUAAUAGAAAUAAUAAAUAGGCUCUUAGAUUAUUUAAUGAUGCAAUUAAUGAAGAAAAGUGAUUAUGUGAACAUAUUUUUUUUUUAAUUUUUUUUUCAACGUUUAUUUAUUUUUGGGAUAGAGAGAGACAGAGCAUGAACGGGGGAGGGGCAGAGAGAGAGGGAGACACAGAAUUGGAAACAGGCUCCAGGCUCUGAGCCAUCAGCCCAGAGCCUGACGCGGGGCUCGAACUCCCAUUCCGCGAGAUCGUGACCUGGCUGAAGUCGGACGCUUAACCGACUGUGCCACCCAGGCGCCCCUAUGUGAACAUAUUUAAAUUUCUUUAUGAUUUGACAAGGAUAGUCAUGUUGACAAAGAUAACGCAACUCGUAAUUACACCACUACAGUGAGGACAUUGGCAACAAACUCGUUAACAGAGAGCACUGUCAAUUCAAAACAUCUAAGAUAAGGCACAAAACAACAAAAACUAGAAAUGCUCUGAAAUCUUAAGACUCACAUAUGACAAGAAAAAGUUUCCCCAAAUUGACUAUAAUCCUAAACAUUUAUGUGAUGAUACCAAUAAUAAGACAAGAGGCUCACAAACUUUCCUAAAUUAUUAAUAAAAGACAAAUUUGAUCAACCAUGUACAGGAAAGAUUUAUACUUUCUAGAUAAAAAAUAUAAAAUCUUUGCCAUACGAAGAGGUAAUCCAGCAUAUGGAGUUCAUAAAAAAAAUAAUGAAAAAUUAUAAGGCGUUUUAGAAAAUCAAGUAACAAUAUCAUGGUAGAAUAGUAUAUGUGUGUUGAGGAUGGAAUUCAGGAACUCUCUUAGAGUUUCUUUUUUUUAAGUUUAUUUCUUUCUUUUGAGAGAGAGAGAGAGUAUGUGUGUGCAAGUAGGGGAGGGGCUGAGAGAGAGAGAGAGAGGGAGAGAGAGAAUCCCAAGCAGGCUGUACACUGUCAGCGCAGAGCCCAUGCAGGGCUCAAUCUCACGAACUGUGAGAUCAUGACCUGAGGCGAAAUAAAGAGUCAGACACUUAGCCAAAUGAGCCACCCAGGCACCCCUCUUAGAGUUUAUAAAGUGGAAAAAAAAACCCAAAAACAAAUGAGGAUCACUUCCCUGAACGAUGGUAUCUAGAGAAAAGAAAAUUUACUUUGGACUUGAAGUGUCUUGAGUUUAAAUCCCAGUCCCUCCACUUAAAUAGUUGUGUGACUGUGAGACUUGAUUUCUACAUUUGUAAAAAUAGGCAGAAUAUUAAGUGUCUUUUAGAGCUUUUGUGAAAAUUAAAUGCUACUACUAAAAUUAAAUGAAGCUAUAAAAAUUAAAUGAAUAGGGCUCUUCUAAAGUAAAUGUGCUCAGUAGAAGGUGUUCUGUAAAUGUUAGCUUCCUUCUGAAAUAUAUAGAGCAGGAUGUCAACUUAUGCAAAGAAUGUAAAUUUGUUCUGGUCAUAAAUGUCAAUGCAUUUUCUGACAAUGCCCAUGAAUUUGUAUAGACUAUAUGGAUUAUGUUUCACCUUUUUGCCUUAUCCUCAAGCUAAUACCAAAUAGGCAUUGACAUAUAUGGGCAAUUUAUGAAAGAAGAAAUAAGAAUGUCUGGUAAUAUAGCCAGAGUUGUUUAACGUACCUGGUCAUCAGACAUGGAUGUAAACAACCAAAUACCAUUUAAUCACUCAGAUUGGCAAAAGAAGAUUGAUAAAAAGAACGGAAAAGGCUGCCUGCAGUUGGUAAGGGUCCAAGAGAGUGACACUCUCAUAACAAUGAGUGGCUGGAGUUCAAAUUGGCACAGCUGUUCUGAGGCCAGUGUAAAAGUACAGUUGCCCCUGGGGGUGCCUGGGUGGCUCAGUCAGUCAAGCUUCCAACUCUUGAUUUUGACUCAGAUCAUGAUCUCACGGUUUCAUGGGAUGGAGCCCGCAUUGGGCUCUGCGCUGACAGCGUGGAGCCUGCUUGGGAUUCUCUCUUUCUGUCUCUGUCUCCAUCUGCCCCUCCGCCCACCAAAUAAAUAAACAUUAACAUUUUUUAAAGCCCCCUGUUUAAAAAAAGAAAAAGUACAGUUGACUGCAAAACAAUUACAGGGUUUAAGGGCUCCAAGCCCCCACUUCCUGCACAGCUGAAAACUGUGUAUGACUUUUGACCCCCAGAAACUAACUAUUGGUAGCUAACAACUGACCAGAAGCCUUACCAAUAAACUAAGGAAUUGAAUAACUCAUCUUUUUUAUGUUAUUAUGUGCUAUAUGCUGUGUUCUUACAAUAAAGUAAGCUAGAGAAAAUAAAUGUUAUUAAAAUUAUAAGGAAGAGAAAAUUCACAUUCACAGUACUCUGCAGCAAAAAAUCUGUGUAUAAGUUCAAACCUGUGUUGUCCAGAGUCAACUAUAGACUAAAACGACAACAAAGAAAACCCUUUAAAAAAUGUUUAUCCUGGGGGCUCCUGGGUGGCUCAGUCGGUUGAGCAUCCGACUUUGACUCAGGUCAUGUUCUCACAGUUUGUGAGUUCGAGCCCUGCGUCAGGCUCUAUGCUAACAGCUCAGAGCCUCGAACCUGCUUUGGAUUCUGUGUCUCCCUCUCUCUGUGCCCCUCCCCCACUUGUGCUCUGUCUCUCUCAAAAAAUAAAUAAACAUUAAAAAAAAUUUUUUUAAUGUUUCUCCUGCAUUUAAAGCUAAACAUGGCCACCCAAUGACCACUUCUAGUUUGCUUCCAAAAAAUGUAUACAUACGUCCUCCAAAAGGCAUGUACAGAACUGUUCAUAGCAACUUUAUUCAUAGUAGUUUAAAUGGCCAUCUACAAUAAACUGAAUCAAAUUGUGUAUUCAAACAAAACACUACAUAGUGAUAUAAUGAGUAAAUUACUGGGGCGCCUGGGUGACUCAGUCGGUUAAGCGUCCGACUUCGGCUCAGGUCAUGAUCUCGCAGUUCGUGGGUCCGAGCCCUGCUGUACUGACAGCUCAGAGCCUGGAGCCUGCUUCAGAUUCUGUGUCUCCCUCUGUCUCUCUUCCUUUCCCCUGCUUGUAUUUUCCCUUUCUCUCUCUCUCUCUCUCUCUCAGAA
rnacentral:lncRNA from 1 species